GGACCAGUGGUGUAGUGGAUAGCAUGUCGCGUCCGCAUGUGAAGGAGAAUGGUUCGAUUCCCUCCAGGUCCA
rfam:Gongylonema pulchrum genome assembly, scaffold: GPTH_contig0023087